rnacentral:tRNA from 1 species
UCCCUCAUGGCUCAAACGGUAAAGUGUCUGCCUACAAUGCAGGAGACCCAGGUUCAAUCCUUGGGUAAGGAA